AAGUCGUAACAAGGUUUUCGUAGGUGAACUUGUGGAAGGAUUAUUACAGUAGUAAUGCCCACGGCGAGCUUCGUCUAAAAAACGGUUGCUUCCCGUAUAGGAUUUCAUCCCUGUCCGCAAGGGUGGUGGAGCGAUCUGUGUAACCCUUUGUGAAAACCCCCAAGUUGUUUCGGCAGCUCGCCAACUCUUAACGGGGGCGGCGGUCAGCCUGUCGACGGCACCUUUUGAAAACUCAUUUAUGUAACUUAGCAGUAAUACGUUUGAGCGUAAAGUUGAAUUGAUUAUAAAACUUUUAACAACGGAUCUCUUGGUUCCC
rnacentral:misc_RNA from 1 species